GGCAACGUGGCCGAGUGGUAUUAAGGCGAUGCCCUGCUAUCUCCACGUAGCAUAGGCAUUGGGUUCGCCCGCGUAGGUUCGAAUCCUGCCGUUGUCG